UCCUUCCUCGAAAUUAAUUUACAAGUCCGCCUCCGCCUCACAGCAGGUAUCCUUCCUACAAAUUAAUUUACAAGUCCGCCUGCCUUUAUGACGACUUCAACAUUCUCCAUCUUCUCUUUCGAAAUCCACAAAGAAACCACAACGCUUCUCAAAACCCAUAUAUAUUAAAGAGAUAUGAGACAAGUGUUUUAGGUGAAGGCAAGGGUUUUGUUUUGUUGAUCAAAAUCAUAUCGAAGGCAGAGUUUAUUAUAAUUUAUUAAUAAACGAUUAAUUAGCAUGGGAGAUUGCAGGCCACUGGGUUUCUUGCUGGGUUUGCCUUUUGCUUUGGUUGCAUUGGUCUUAUCUGUUGUUGGUGCUGUCAUCUGGGUUCUUGGGACGGUUUUGAGUUGCUUGUGUCCAUGCUGCAUUUGUGUUGGUGGGAUAGCGAAUUUGGCGGUCACUCUUAUCAAGCUUCCUGUAAAAAUAAUUAGAUGGUUCAUCGAUCAGAUCCCUUGUUGAAGAUGUCAGAGUUGGGUUUCUAGGGAAUUUGUAAGAUUAUUUCUUCUGAUUUUUCAGAAAAUUCAUGAUUUGUAAUUAGGUAGGAUAUUCGAUUACACCAUAUAUUGUUAGAUUAUAUGUUGCAUUUGUUAUUUUUCUUCAUCUGUGUCGAGUUGAUUAAGAGUUUGUGCACUGGGAUGGUAGAUGACUCCAUGAUGGUGGAUCGUGGGAUAGGAAGUUUUCUAAUUGAAUUUUUUUUUUUUUUUUGGUAUCAA